UAGUCUCGUUGGUGACCAGCGGAGGGAUCAUUACCGAGUUUACAACUCCCAAACCCCUGUGAACAUACCUAUACGUUGCCUCGGCGGAUCAGCCCGCGCCCCGUAAAACGGGACGGCCCGCCCGAGGACCCCUAAACUCUGUUUUUAGUGGAACUUCUGAGUAAAACAAACAAAUAAAUCAAAACUUUCAACAACGGAUCUCUUGGUUCUGGCAUCGAUGAAGAACGCAGCAAAAUGCGAUAAGUAAUGUGAAUUGCAGAAUUCAGUGAAUCAUCGAAUCUUUGAACGCACAUUGCGCCCGCCAGUAUUCUGGCGGGCAUGCCUGUUCGAGCGUCAUUUCAACCCUCAAGCUCAGCUUGGUGUUGGGACUCGCGGUAACCCGCGUUCCCCAAAUCGAUUGGCGGUCACGUCGAGCUUCCAUAGCGUAGUAAUCAUACACCUCGUUACUGGUAAUCGUCGCGGCCACGCCGUUAAACCCCAACUUCUGAAUGUUGACCUCGGAUCAGGGUAGGAAUACCCGCUGAACUUAAGCAUAUCAUAAA
rnacentral:rRNA from 1 species